GAUUAUUCCUGAAAAAUAACAUCUGUGUGUCAGAGACACUUCAGUUAUCUUUCUCCAUUUGAUGGUCUGAAACAGUUACCCUCCACAUUUCCUAAGGUCUUCAGAAUAGAUGCAUUGUGGUUGAUAGGAAGCAUCUCUAAUCCAUCUCCCCCAUCCCAAAGAGCUGUUUCUAACAUUAAUGAUUCUUUUCUAAUAUUCAUUUCUAACAUUUAAUGGAAAUUAAUUUGCUUUUCUCAAAAAUCAUAUUGAUAUCUAUUGAAUGAGAUGAUCUGCUUCUCUUUGAUUAUUAAAUAUUGUACCCUAAUAUAGUUAUUAAUGUUGAGCAAACUGUUUCUCGAGUAUUCUUUUGAUAGACCACAGACUCUGAUUCACUGAUGGCUUCUUCAGGACUUCUGCUUCUUUAUUGGUAUAUGACAUUGGCUCUGGGUGCAUGAGUGUCAUGUCUGGAUACGGGGCUUAUGCUGAUUUCAAAACAAGAAAGGAGAACUUUGCUUAUUCCCCAAUACUCUGAAAAAAUUAACUAGAAUGGAAAUUUUAUUAUUGUUAUUAUUAUCUGAAGGCUUGAAAGCAUUGGUUUAUAAUUAUGUAGGCUUAAAUCCCAUGGACAGAGGAGCCUGGCAGGCUACAGUCCAUGGGGUUACAAGAGUCAGGCACAACAGUGACUAAACCACCACCAAAGCUACUUUGAGAAGAGUUCUUUGAUAAGAGCCUUCAUUUCCUUCGUGUUAUGGGCCUGUUAAAGGGCUCUAUAUUUUCUUCCAUCCGUUUUGACAGCUUAAGAUAUCUUGCAAGAUCAUCCAUUUUGUACAUAAUUUAAAUUAUAUUCGUAAAAUAUUCCAGUGUGUUGUCAAUUAUCUUUUUAUAAUAUAUUCAUGUUUUUCUAUAGCUGAGGUUUGAGCUUUUUCUGUACCUCUGACAUGAUGCCUGUGUGCUUGCUUUUUGCUUCUUCAUUAGAUCACUUGGUGAUUUAUUUAUUUCAAAGAGAGUUUGUCUCUUAUUUUUUAAUAUGUUAGCCUUAUCUUUUGUCAUUCUUGCUUCCUGUUUCCCUUUGUCUUACUUACAAAUUUUGUUUUGACUAUUUUUAUUUAAAUGAAACAAUAAGGCAUAGAGGAAGACUUUAAGUCCUCUUGUGUGGGAAGAUUACAUUUUGCUGUGUUGUGCCCCCAGAUUUAUUGUUAUCUUACUGCUUUAUUUCUCAAGUUAAUAACCUAUGGAGUAAAAGGUGAAUAAUGUCUCAGUGCUACUCACUGGUCCAUCUGAACGUCUCACCUAAGUACAGCGCCUUGGCUUCAUUGCCGUUCUCUGAAAUUUUGCUCUAACUUGUUGCAGUUAAUGUACUAAUGUCGCAUGAAGUACUUUGCAUAUGAGAAUUGCAUUCCAUUGAAUAUCAUAAUUGUCACUGUUAUUUGAACUUAAUUCAAGGGUCACUAGAGUGAGGCAAGCCAGGUGCCAGGGAGGCACUCUUUAUCAGGCUCAUUUUGUCCAAGCACAGAAUUGGCAUAUGAGAGUAUUUCCUUAAUUCUGUACCAUGGGCACCUCUUGCUUACCUUAGCCUAGCCCUAGCCACUAACAUUUUUUUUUUCAUGAACCCACUCCCUCCAUCCACUUCUUCUGAAUAUAUUUCAGUGGAGAUAUUUUAAAACAGUACUUCAAUAUUCCUGAGUCCCAUAAUAGUGAAUAAUUUCUUUU
rnacentral:lncRNA from 1 species